GAUGAACGCUGACAGAAUGCUUAACACAUCAGCAAUUGAUUGGUGGCGGACGGGUGAGUAACGCGUAAAGACCUUGCCUCACAGGUAGGGACAACAUUUGGCAACGAAUGCUAAUACCUAAUACUGUGAGAGAGCUUUGCGUCCCAUUAGCUAGUUGGAGAGGUAACUGCUCACGAAGGCGAUGAUGGGUAGCCGGCCUGAGAGGGUGAUAGGGUACAGAGUCACUGAGACACGGCCCGUAGGCAUGCGUGAGGAAUGAGUGAGGAAUAGUGGACAAUGGACCGAAGUCUGAACAAGCAAUUCGGGUUGCACGAUGAAUUUGUCGGAAGGUAAAGUGCUUGCAGUUGACAAGCGGUACCAACAGAAGAAGCGACGGCUAAAUACGUGCCAGCAGCCGCGGUAAUAC
rnacentral:rRNA from 1 species